GUUAGGAAUAUUGGACAAUGGGGGCAACCCUGAUCCAGCGACGCCGCGUGAGUGAUGAAGGCCUUCGGGUCGUAAAGCUCUGUUGCAGGGGAAGAACACAAUGACGGUACCCUGCUAGAAAGGAUCGGCUAACUUCGUGCCAGCAGCCGCGGUAAGACGAGGGAUCCUAGCGUUGUUCGGAAUUAUUGGGCGUAAAGCGGGUGCAGGUGGCUUGGUAAGUCAGAUGUGAAAGCCUGGGGCUUAACCCCAGAAGUGCAUUUGAUACUGCUGAGCUUGAGUGCUGGAGAGGCUAUUAGAAUUCCUGGUGUAGUGGUGAAAUACGUAGAUAUCAGGAGGAAUACCGGAGGCGAAGGCGGAUAGCUGGCCAGACACUGACACUCAGACCCGAAAGCGUGGGGAUCAAACAGGAUUAGAAACCCCAGUAGUCC
rnacentral:rRNA from 1 species